rnacentral:misc_RNA from 1 species
GAUGAAGAACGUAGCGAAAUGCGAUAAGUAGUGUGAAUUGCAGAAUUCAGUGAAUCAUCGAAUCUUUGAACGCACAUUGCGCCCCUUGGUAUCCCGAGGGGCAUGCCUGUUCGAGCGUCAUUUCACCACUCAAGCCUGGCUUGGUGUUGGGCGACGUCCCCUUUGGGGACGCGCCUCGAAACGCUCGGCGGCGUGGCACCGGCUUUAAGCGUAGCAGAAUCUUUCGCUUUGGAAGUCGGGGCCCCGUCUGCCGGAAGACCUCCUCGCAAGGUUGACCUCGGAUCAGGCAGGGAUACCCGCUGAACUUAAGCAUAUCAAUAAGCGGAGGA